UACCUACGGGGCGCAGCAGUGGGGAAUCUUCCGCAAUGGGCGAAAGCCUGACGGAGCAACGCCGCGUGAUCGAAUGAAGGCCUUCGGGUUGUAAAGAUCUGUUGACAGGGACGAAUAAGCAAUGCGAAUAGUUUUGUGUAUGACGGUACCUGUUUAGAAAGCCACGGCUAACUACGUGCCAGCAGCCGCGGUAAUACGUAGGUGGCAAGCGUUGUCCGGAAUUACUGGGUGUAAAGGGAGCGUAGGCGGGAAGCCAAGUCAGCUGUGAAAACUACGGGCUUAACCUGUAGACUGCAGUUGAAACU
rnacentral:rRNA from 1 species